rnacentral:misc_RNA from 1 species
AUAGGAAUAGAACGGACAGAAUUACUGCAGUCUGGGUCCGCCAUGUUUGUUGUUGUCUGGUGUUGUGCUUUGUGUUGCUGAGUGCUAAAUGACUUGAAAAUCGUUGUGAAAACAGUUUUGUUAUGUCAUGUAUUUGGAACUGAUUGUAUACUGGGGUUGUAAUGUUUGUUGAAACUAAGAAAUGUGUUAUAUUUAGUUCAUUUACCUCAUAUAAACCUUUGCUUUGUUCCUAUGUGGGCUAAGGGAUUUCGGAGGUCAAGAGCCCCCAGACCCAAGUUUAAUCGCGUGUAACCUCAUCUCUGGGUCAAGGCAGGCCCUGAGGAGUUUUCUUCAAGUUUUAAUUUCACUUAGAAGCUGGCGGGAAAUUUGCCUGCCAAUCCAGAGGUCGCUGAAGACCCUGGAAUGUUGGACAUUUGGGGGGGUGAAGAAAAUGACAAUCUUUCAUUUGAGGAUUCAGAUAGGUUUGAAGAAGACUCUCUUUGCAGUUGGAGUAGUGAACCAGAAUCAGUGUGUAAUAACUGGAGAGGAUGGAAAAAACCUUCAUUAAAUUCUUCGUCUUUAUUUGGAACUUCAAAGAAGACUUCAGAUGACACGGAACGAGUAGCGGCACUGUGUGAACUAGCUGCGCGGUGUGUAGCCUCACACAUCCCGUUUGAGUUAGUGGAGCAUGUCUAUCCUCCAGUGCCGGAACAGUUACAACUGCGUAUUGCGUAUUGGAGUUUCCCUGACAACGAGGAGGAUAUACGUCUUUAUUCCUGCCUUGCUAACAGCAGUGCUGAUGAGUUCCAACGAGGAGAACAUCUCUACCGCAAUCGUGCCGUCAAAGACCCUCUGCAGAUAGGUUUCCACCUGAGUGCCAGUGUGUCUGCCACUAUCACCACUUACAAUGUAGCUGUAACAUUUGACCGCAGGCGCAUCACGUCUUGCAACUGUACCUGCAACUCCACUGCCUACUGGUGUUCGCACAUUGUGGCCGUAUGCCUGCACCGAAUCCACCAGCCUACCCAGGUUUGCCUGAGAGCUCCAGUGAGCGAGUCUCUCUCUCGACUACAGAGAGACCAGUUACAGAAGUUUGCUCAGUACCUCAUCAGUGAGCUGCCUCAGCAGAUCCUGCCGACUGCCCAGAGGCUGUUAGAUGAGCUGCUGUCUUCUCAGCCCUCAGCUAUCAAUUCGGUGUGUGGAGCCCCAGACCCAACCGCUGGAGCUUCUGCCAAUGAGCAGACGUCGUGGUAUCUAGAUGAGAAAACUUUGCAUGACAACAUUAAGAAAAUACUCAUCAAGUUCUGCGUACCUGCUCCUAUUGUCUUCAGUGAUGUGAAUUACCUGAGCAACACCGCGCCGCCUGCAGCGUCCGAGUGGACCAGUCUGUUGCGGCCUCUGAGAGGUAGAGAGCCCGAGGGCAUGUGGAACCUGCUGUCCAUCGUGAGAGAGAUGUUCAAGCGCAAUGACCGCAACGCUUUGCCUCUUUUGGAGAUCAUUACCGAGGAGUGUAUGGCUUGUGAACAGAUCCUGGUAUGGUGGUUCUACACCAAAGUGGCGCUCCACGCAGGUUACAGUGGGGGUGGUGGUGGCAAACACGGCUCCGUCAACAGCAACAGUCAGGCCAGCCAACACGCCUGCAGCUCGCUGUGUGAUGAGAUAGUAGUGCUUUGGAGACUUGCAGCCCUCAAUCCUGCGAUAUCACCGUCACAGCGUAAUGUGCUGCGCUUCCAGUUCAAGGAUUGGCACCUGAAAGUUAUUGAGAAGGUAACAAAACGGGAGAGCCUGGGCACAAGACAAGGUCACAACAAACUCAAUCCUCUGGAGGUGUUCUCUGGGUUCAAACCAGCAGUGGAGGCCUGCUUCUUGGACUGGGAUGACUACCCGCUUCCCGGCAUCACAUAUACAAGUGCCUCGUGGCUCUACAACUCCCAACCCUUCACUUGCUUCCGCCACAAUGAGCCCCCACGGAGCGAACACGCCCACAUCAACCCUGUGAACUCAUCACAGGUUGUAAUAAACCUGGAGCACAAUCCGAGAAGUUCACACCACCACUAUCAUUGCCACAAUCCCCACCUCCAUCACACCAACUCUGGGCCUAACAAGAGGCUAAUACGCAAUACAAGUGGGGCAGGACGUUCUGAAAGGCACAAUCAGAUGUACCGACUCAACUUACUGUCAUUCAUGAGCCACUCACAGAGACAGCAGCAGUUUGUGACAUUACCUGGGGCUGGGGGUAACCACAGCUCAGUGUCCAGUGAGGGCUUCUGUGACGGUGACAUGGCACCUCGGCCUGAGCAGGAGGAGACUGACUCCCAGGGUGGAGGUGGUAGCGAUUCGUCGUGGAGCAGUGGUCGUGAGGGAGAGGGAGAAGGGGUGGUGGUGGGGAGAUACAGUGGGGACGACAGUGACAGCUCACCCCCCGCUCCGGCACCCCUCCCCUCCCCACCCCGGAGACUGUCCAAAGACGAUUCUCUGUCUAGUAGCAACUCGGACUGGCAGUUGAAUAGUGGAGACGAGUAUCAUGUUUACUAUUAUGAUCCCAAGUCACUCAACAACAACAGCAACAACAACAACACUAACAACCAAGCACCCACCGUAGAUAAACUAUCGGACUCGGAUCCUGCUGCUGUCAAGGAGUCUACAGCGGUGACAGCUCAAUCGGUCCUGCAGAGUAUCCAGGGGCUGGAGGAUCCAUGGGAUAUCCUGUUUGCACGUGCUGAGGGCCUCCACGCACACGGACACGCUCGCGAGGCAUGCACUUUGGGGGUUAGACUUGCUGAGGAAAUGUUGGCUCAUCCACCUGACCUCAUGAUUGAAAUACCACCUAUUCAGGCCAAGGGCAAGAGGAAAAAGGUGAACCCAGCUUCUCACCAGCUGAGUGUUAUAGCCUCCAACACUCUGGCAAAGUGUGGCUUCCUCUGUCAGGUGUUGGCUGAGAACCCAGACUACUUCCACCUGGCCUUUAAGGUGGGGCUGUUCGGACUGGAAUUGGCUCGGCCUCCUGCUAGCACCAAGCCUUUGGAGGUGAAGCUUGCCAACCAGGAAUCAGAGCUGGUGUUGCUACUCAAGAGGAUCCCGCUAGGAGAGCAGGAGCUGGCUAUUAUACGAGAGAGGGCUCACCAGUUACGGGAGGGUUCCCUCAAGUCUCGAGGAGAGGCGCUGCUACCUAUCAACCUGGCUGGCUUCCUUCUGGACGCUCUUAUCAACACAUCAGCCAACCGAGAGUGCCGCUGUCAGCUGAUCAACCCGGGACUGCGCUUGGCGUCAGACGAGACAUUGGGCUUUGAGGCUGCCGUCGCAGCGCUAGGCCUAAAGGCCAAUGUAAGCGAAGCUGACCACCCACUUCUCUGUGAGGGCACCCGGCGCCAGAGAGGGGACCUGGCCAUCUGUCUGUUGAUGCUGUACAAGGAUGACCCCCACAAGCUGGCCCGUAUCAUGGACAAACUGCUAGAUCGUGAGGUACAUCAGCUCAUAAAGUGUUCAGUGCCACCCAGUUACUACUCCAGCAACCCACCGGUGCGCAGUCAGUUCCUGCCCACUGCGUCCACCCGCCCCCCACCCAGGAAGGACCUGGAACACCCCCCACCUCUGCCGCCCCCUGAGAUGCUAAUGGAUACCACCAUCAUCAAUGGAGCCAGCAGUAGGCCACAGAGUUGUACCAGUGCAGAGCUGGAACAAGGAUUGGUCAACCUGUCCCUGAGCAGUCCAGGCACCAGCCUUGUCACCCCACCCCUGACUAUGGGCACCCCUCUCACCCCUUCGACCACUAGACCCAAGGAGACAACAUCCAGGUUUAAAGGAAAACGAGCGUAUCCAUCAAUACCAAACCAGCCGUCAGAAGCCGGAGCCCACUUUACAUUCGAGUUGGCCAAGACUGUACUGAUGAAGGCCGGGGGAAACAGUUCAACUUCACUGUUCACACAGGCCUCCACCUCUCAGAACCAUCACGGGCCUCACCGAGCCCUACACAUGUGUGCCUUCCAGCUGGGCUUAUACGCUCUGGGCCUGCAUAACUGUGUCAGUCCGAACUGGCUCAGUCGCACGUACUCCUCACAUGUCUCGUGGAUCACUGGUCAAGCCAUGGAGAUCGGGGCACCGGCCAUCUCAUUUCUGAUGGACACAUGGGAAGGACACCUCACACCUCCCGAGGCUGUCAGUAUCGCCGACCGAGCUUCACGUGGCUGUGACCCCAAUAUGGUGGCGGCGGCGGCACAGCUGGCUCUGUCCUGCCUACCCCACGCGCACGCACUCAAUCCCAACGAGAUACAACGUGCCAUUCUGCAGUGUAAGGAGCAGAGUGACAUGAUGCUGGAACACUCCUGUCUCACUGUGGAGAGUGCGGCCAAGGGUGGAGGUGUCUACCCGGAGGUGCUGUUCCAGGUGGCCAAGUACUGGUACGAGUUGUACAUCAGGCAUUCGCCUGGUAAUGGAGAGGUGUUCAUGGAGCAACAACCCGAGGUACAGCAGCCAGAGGAACAAGGUCCGCCAGGGCUGGUGGAACAAGUGGUGGUGUGUGGGGAACCUCCACCUCAGCCCCAACCCCCACCUUUACCUCCACCCACACAUCAGCCUCCACCACCGUAUCAUCCUCCACCACUCGCUCUGCCUUAUACCAUUGCACCCUUCGGUUUUACCGUACAACCUGUGCUUCAACUAGCCCGCCAUCCUCACCCUCAUGUCACCCAUCAGGUCUAUCAUCUCUCCCCACCCACCUUCCAAUACCCGCCACAUGCUGCCAACAAUCAACCCGCCUAUGCUAGCAUCUCUCAGCCACCAGGACUGCAGUAUUACGGAGUCAGAUCCCAUGGCUCAGUACCACAUCAUGUGUUCCCCAUAGCUGCCACCAUGCAACCUGCCACACUCACUCCGACUCAGAUUGUGCUGACACAGGCUCCCAGUACGCAGUGUGUAACACAGGCAGUGUCUCAGCUGUCCCUACCCAGACCCCAGCCUCAGCAACAGGUCCACAGACAGACACAGCAGUACAGCCAGACCCAGCUGCGCUAUCUACUGGCUGCGUACCGUGUCGGCAUGUUAGCACUGGAUACACUAUCUCGCCGGGUACAUGAUGAUCGUCCCCAGGCCAAAUAUGCCCGCAAUCCUCCGUAUGGUGAAGAUGUCAAGUGGCUUCUCCGUGUCUCAAAAAAAUUAGGCACUCAGUACCUUCACCAGCUGUGCGUGUGCGCGGUGAACAGCAUCGUUAGCCCGUUUGUGCUGCACGACAUGGCUGUAGAGGCUGCACACUACCUGUCUCCCGAGAACCAUUAUUGUAACAAUCCUGGGCUGGUCAUGCAGCAUCUGCGCACCACACUAACCCCCCUAGUCCACAAGUGCCAGCAGAUGUAUAUCCAGUGUAUGCACCAGAAGCUGUACCAUCUUACCACUGCUGAUUAUGAGGACUUUGUCAACAUUGUGUGUUCGGCCCGUGCUGCUUUCCAGAUCACACCUGAAGGAAAUGCUCAGUUCAAAGAGUGGCUCCAGUCGAUACGCAGAUCAAAGUCAUGUAAGAAGGACCUCUGGACCCAGAUAAACGCAGCCCUGCAAGCUAACAGUAAAUGACAAAGGCCUGAGUUAGGUGCAUUACAUUGCGUAGACAACAGCUGGGUCUCUCCUGCUGAGUCUCCGCCCCCGUGGAACAGUUAGGCGAGCUGGAAUAUCACUUGUUUUGAACUCUCUUAAAAAUUAUAUAGAUUCAGGGAGGUUACUUGUUGUUAUUGUGCAUAAAUCGAUUAUUAUUUCUGUAGAAUCUGUUAGAUCGCUUAAAUCAACGACUACAUAAAUUUCCUUUUAAGUAUUCUUAAUUCUCAGCACUGAAUAGUUCUUUUUAGAAUAAAAAUCUUGUAUUUAUGUAAGAAAUAAAAUGGUUUUCAAUUUGUUUGAAUAUAAUCUUGAAUUUGCUUCAAACAAAAACAUGUAUAUGGUCUAGAUCUUUCUAGUAUUGUGUCUGUACUUUUUUAUACUAAAGUUGAAUGUCGGGAACAACAAUAUAAUGAUACCGUAGUUUACAGCAGGGAUCUGUAAACUCAAAAAUAUAUUUUAUGGUACGUGUCUUACAAAUCAACUGUAAGUCGUAUAUUUCAGCUCAGUAAUUAGGUUUUACUUAUUUUGUUAUCGUUUACGAUCAUUGUAUAGAAAUGUUACACUUAUAUAGUUUCCCGUUUGUCUUGUGCAUGACGAAGCGCUGACUGGUCAUUAGUUAAGUUUCCCGUAUUUCCUCAAUCUUAACCUGUUCCUGAAACAAUUUCAAUUCAAAACUCUAGAUAUAAUAUACAUUCUCAGUUAACAUGAGAGGUUUAGAUUGCUUGCAGCAAACAUUAUAAGAUGAAAUAAUUAUUCUAAUAGUCAAAAACAUGUUUAAAAUUACAGUGAUAAAAAUUUAAAAACAAUAUUUAAUUACUUUUUUUGUUUAAAUGACAGCAUGUCAAGGCUCAAUCUCGGUAUUUCAUGGGGAAAAUUAACAUUGAUAUUGUUAGAGUAACUGGUUUGAGUUAAAACCACUGGUGACUUAUCACUACAUAUUAGUACAAGCUUCUACAAAUAAAUAUAGUUUUAAUUGUAAAAAAAAAUACUUAAUAUAAACAUGUAUGUAAAAAAAUAGUUUUUGCUUACAUGAAACAAACAGCAUAGUAAUUUAGAUUCUUAAAAAUGAAAAGUAUAUUAUUGUUCUUCACAUAUUAAAAAUAAAAUUUAAACAGAUUAUUUGCAAAUUCUGAUGUUUUUCACAUUUUUAAUUGAAUCUGUUCAAAGAAGUUAGACAUGUUAAGACCUUAAUCAGUUCAUAGCAACAUAUAUCAGUACUGUUAUAAUAUAAACGAUCUAUAUGCAGUUUAAUUUCUAGGUGUAGUUAAAUCAUAUUAAUGAUAAGUAUCUAGCCAAGUAACUAAUUAAUAAUUGAUUUUGCAAAAUAUGUAUAAUUUUGCACAGGACAGGAUAACAUUGAGAAAAUACAGCACGAAUAGUUAGAGUAGAUAACUCAACGUGUAUCCCAUCUAGUUAGUUUCAUUUUGAAUUAUAGGAAAUGCUAUUAUUGCAUUAAAUAUAAAUAUUUAGUUUUGAUAACGUGCAUUAGACUUUUUCAAUUACGUAGAUAAAAUGGCGUUUUACGUAGAAGAUAUCUCUGUGUAUUCUCGGUGUAUAAUUUUAUUAUAAACAAAGUAUAAUUAUAUGACAAUUGAGGUUCCAGGAUGUGUAGAUUUCUCUGCUACUUGUUAUGAAAAUAAAAAUCUCAAGGAUAAGUUUACAUCUGUCUAAGUAUUAAUGGUAUUCUUCUUAAAUAAGGUAUAAAAAAUAAAGUUGAGUUAAAAAUUGUUGAAAAUUUGAUAAUUUCUUUGGUUUUAUUGGUAUGGAUAACACUGUAAAACUCCUCUUGAGGAGCAGUAUAACGGAGUUUAGUUGUUGUUCUUUUGAGGUUCGUUAGGCAUUAGAGAAUUUAGUUGUCAAAUUAAAAAUACUCAAAGUAUUUCCAUGACAUUCUACAAAUGGUAGAUAUACAAGGUGAUUGUACUUGAAUACAGCCAGGUGGGAUGCUACAGGUGAUUGUACUUGAAUACAGCCAGGUGGGAUGCUACAGGUGAUUAUACUUGAAUACACCCAGGUGGGAUGCUACAGGUGAUUAUACUUGAAUACAGCCAAGUGGUUUGCUACAGGUGAUUGUACUUGAAUACAGCCAGGUGGGAUGCUACAGGUGAUUGUACUUGAAUACAGCCAAGUGGUUUGCUACAGGUGAUUGUACUUGAAUACAGCCAGGUGGGAUGCUACAGGUGAUUGUACUUGAAUACAGCCAAGUGGUUUGCUACAGGUGACUGUACUUGAAUACAGCCAGGUGGGUGCUAUGGCUGAGGCCAGAAUAAAAACAGCUCAACCAGAAUUGAUAGGUAGGAAACCAGUUUAUUUUUUAAACAUAUGUAAUAAAAGAAGGAUUAGAAAGAUAAAUAAUAACAGUUUAUUCUUGUUUUUAGACUAUCUAAAUUCACAUUUUUAUCUAUUGUUGUCCUUUUGGUUGUGAAUUAAUUAUAAGAAGAAUAUUUCAAGCGUUUUUAUUUAACUAUCAUUGAAAUUGGAUUGUUAUCUUUCUUUCAAGGUCUUUAAAUCUUACUAAAACCUAAGUUGUAAUAUCGUAUGGAUGAACAUGUCAGAUGAAAAUUGUAGUAAAACUAUUAAAAAAAUGUUUUUUGUCCUAAACCAUGGAUCUUUAAAAUACAAUUUAACACUUAGUAUUCAAACUCUACAUAGCAAAACAAUUAAAAUAAAGGUAAUGGUUUAAUGUGCACAUAAAUAAAAAUGUAAUUUAACUUAUUGUUAGGUACAAUCAAAAUAACAAAAAGGCUUGUCUUCUUCAUUGUGCAAUACGAUGACCUUCAGGUGAUCUCAAUAGCUUGGGAUAAUAAAAAGAGUCAGAAGGGAUUCAGAAAGCAUUACUCAAUUCCACUGUAGAAUCUCAGCAGCCAUCUCAGAAAACACAAGUGAGACAGGAACAACACCUCCCCCUCCCUCUCUUCACUUCCUUAGGAGUCAUUUGUUGUGCAGUAUGGGGUUCACAUACAAUAAUUGUAGCCUUUGAACAUGUGCCGACAUGUGCCUAAGAUCAUUGUAGCAUGGAGUGUCUCGAGGUUACAUGGUUACAGAUUUACAAAAUAAGGACUCACAGUAAUAUUUGUGUUAGUUUUAUUUCUGUAAUACAAAAUUAAAACUAUCCGUUGCUAUUUUAAAAAUUAAUUGACUAAUCGUUUCUAUAUAUACAGAAUUAAGAUAUAUACACAAUCUUAAUUGACAUAUAUAUAUAUAUAUAUAUAUAUAUAUAUAUAUAUAUAUAUAUAUAUAUAUAUAUAUAUAUAGAGAGAGAGAGAGAGAGAGAGAUUGAUUUUUAAUGAUUUGACCUUAGACUCAGUAAUUAUAUAAUAGCUAGGAUUUGGGUUACAGAACAUGGUUGUACUUGCACUUCUUUGUUAUUAAAUUAAUUAACAGGAUAAACAAACAACAAAUUUAGUGUUGGUUGGAAAAAUUAUGUAAGAAUAAAGUGAUAGUUCAGUGCGUAAUGUCAGCAAAGUACAUGUCCUACCUGCCAGGUUAUUUGUGUAAAGCACAGGUAGAGGUCUCACGUCCUGGAUUCCUUUAUAAUGGGUUCGUUAUGGAUUUUGUUGCACUAUAGAAGAAUUUUAUACAAUUUCAUUUAUAAAGAAAUUAUUUAUUAUUACAAGUAUAAGUAAAGUGGAAUUCAGAUGUAUUAUUUAAGUUGUAGUUUUAUCUAUAUCUCAAAUAGACACUUAAUAGCUAAUUGUAGUAUUUUAAUUUAUUGUUAGUAGUUUUUAAUAAAUAAAAAUAAACUUUUCUUUGUAUAUUUUUGGUUUUAAGCAAAUGUUAGUUUAUAUUAAAUGCGUUUUAUUAUAAGUUUUAUAAUUAGUAAUAUUAGUUGUAGGUCUUGAGUAUUUUAAAAUUUAUGAUAAUAUUUCUUCAUGUAUUACAUUAAAUUCAUUGUAUAUGUCAUAAAUGAAGCGAAUUACUUUUAUAUCUCUAUGUCGAAAUACUUAUUGUAGCCAAUUUGAACAAUUGGUUACCAGACUAUACCAUAUAAAAAGCAAAAGGUAACAAAAGUUCUUAAAAUAAUAAUUGUCUUAAAUUGUUUUGGAAUCAUUCCACACAAUGUAAGUUUUAUUGCGUCCAAUAUUUUGUGGUUAGUUAAAAAAUGUAUCAAAUAAUUUGCUCAACUGUGAAGUACCGUAGCCAUUUGCUCAAACACAGUAAAUGGUGUUGAGUGCAACGGACACAAAAUCAUCACAUUCUCUCCAGCAUACAUUCCUCUGCCUUGUCAUCAGUUGCUGUAAAACUUGUCAAAAUUAUUCUAACCCAUCACAUUCCAAGAAAAUGUUCACAUUUAAUGUCAGUCUUACUUCUCAUUUUUCUCUUUGUUUUUCAUAAAAGUCAGUCUUACUAGAUUGUGGAUCAUUUAUUUGCUUGUUUUUGUGAUUUUUCCCUUGAAAUAAUUGUUUGUUUACACUUCGUAGUGGAGCAUAUUAGAGUACGGUGUACAAGCACUUAACUAUAUUUACUACUCUUUGGUAUUCCAGAAUGAGUGAAGUUCUGUUUUCCUUUGGUAGAGCACACUUCAUCUAAUGGAUGUAAGUCAAGCCUUUUGAUAUGCUUCCAUUGAUAUUUUAUCAUAGAAUGUGGAAUGAUAGUGUCGUACGGAAUAUUAGUCUUUUGUAAUCUUAAUAUUUAAAGCUGUUUACUAUAUUACUGUUUGGUAUUCUUCAGCAUCUUCAAACAAAAUUUCUACAGUGAAAAUUUUGAAUGAAAUUGUAAAUUUAAUGUAAGUUAUAGGUUUAUAAAUCAGAGAAGUAGAACUAAAAUUAACAUAGAUAAUAAAAAUUGUACAUUACAUCCAGAGCCUGGGUAGUGAUUGUGAGGCAUGGGCAGUUCAGAUCUAGGUCUGCAGUCAGUGGCUCAGAUUCAUAUAAUUAAACAAAAUGAACAAUGCUUUAUAAGUUAUGCCAUAUCAAGCUCCCCUCACCCCCAUGUUAUAUGAAAGACUUUAAUACAAACAAGAUACAAUAAAUACAAGGGCUAUAUCAAAAGUAACCUCUUGUUUGAUUAUUAAAAAAUACCCAAUCAGAUAAACAUAUUUUAUUGUGUUUUGUGUUUUUAUACAUUUGAAAACUACAUAUGUUCUCCAUUUUUCUCAUUCGAUAUUAGGAUUUAAGCAUUUAUCAUAUCUUUUAACUAAUUUAGAAAUGCCUUUUUCAAACAAAUCUGCCGCCUAUACUUUUAGCCAGCCAGUGACAGAGAGGGAGAGAGCACUACCUCACUACUACCAAUGGUGCUUACUUUUGCAAUAGCCCUCGUAUUAGCAUUAUUAUUAAAUUAAGAUAAAUUAAGAAAUAAAUUUCACAUAAAAUUCUGUAUAUUGAAAUAAAUAUAAGAAAAACUUAAUAAUGGAAAAGAAAAAAAUAAAUAUCAAAAACUUUGAACCACUCUUGCUGAUCACACAUCUUUGUCUGUGUGAUCUAUUACAAAUUGUUGUUGAUCAAAGGAUGAGAAUUUUUAGUAAUAAGACUCCUCUUCUUGUAGGUCAUUCACUAAUAUCAGAGAUAAAUUAAACUGAUUGGACGGGUAAACAAGAAAUUUAGUUCUGAUAAUAUAUUCUGAAAUUAGCCAAAUUUCAGUACAGAAAUUUUUUUUGAAAUAAUGUAAAACUUGUUUAAGAUUUUCAGUCACAGUGAAAUGCGACACUGGCACAUGUGAGCAGAGAGCACAGAAUGGAAUGCCUGGCGGGGUUCCUCCUCCACCCACACGUCUGGUCUGUGUGUGAGACGGUUGGUAACUUAAUGAUUGGCCAGCAAAGGGAGGCCUAGGAGGCGGAGAUAAUUAAAAGAAUUGAGGUAAACAGGCUGAUAACACCCAUAUAUCCAUAGAAUAGAAAAUGAGAGGACUCGGAGGCCGAGGUACCAAACUACAGGAGAACAUGAGAGAUUGACCUAACCCAGAGUCCGAGAUAACUGAGGUACAAGGGGCCCCGAGAACUACAAUUAGCAUUGACUUGUACCAGGAGAACAUAAGAGAUUGACCUAACGGGAACCCAGAGUCCGAGAUAACUGAGGACAAGGGGCCUCGAGAACUACAAUUAGCAUUGACUUGUACCAGGAGAACAUAAGAGAUUGACCUAACGGGAACCCAGAGUCCGAGAUAACUGAGGACAAGGGGCCCAGAGAACUAGAAUUAGCAUUGACUUGUACCAGGAGAACAUAAGAGAUUGACCUAACGGGAACCCAGAGUCCGAGAUAACUGAGGACAAGGGGCCUCGAGAACUACAAUUAGCAUUGGCUCGUACCAGGAGAACAUAAGAGUCACUUCAUCUGUAUUGAACAAAAAAAAGAAAGGAUCCAAUCAUGUAAGAAUUAGCAACAUUUAUGUCGUAGAGUCUGAAAAACCAAUACCAGCUAAUCUGUUUGAAAUAAAUAUACUGAGCACAUGUAUCUAAAGAGUUUUUUUUUAUUCAAAGAAAUAUUCAAAAAUUCCGUUGAAUAAAAAUUGUGACAACCCACAAUAUUUAGGACUAGGACGGAGCUGGGACAACAUGGGGCACACUUCUGCCUUGUCCUUAGUAUACUCCACUACCAUGGCUUCUACUAAGUAAUGUAUUUCCUCUUGCAAUAACACACAAGGAAGUGCUAUUAAGAGAACUUGAGAAAAUUAUACCUGCACCACAUUCUCCCAUCAGACCAGACCACCCGCUACAGGAGAGCAAACAACUCAGGUCUCACACUGCCAGCUGGGCGUCUCAGUGGGAUUGUUUGAGGCACAAAACAAUACUUGGUAUCCUACUUUACCAUUAGAUAGAAUGUAUAUACUUUGUAUUUGCUGAACUGUGGAUCGAUGUAACUUCUACAAGGUAAGGGGAGACAGACUGAAGAUUAGGCAGAAUCCAGACAAUAAAACAUAUUUACAUUCUUGUUCCAGUGUGUCGUUUUCAAGAGAGAUGGAGGAGUUCCAUAAAGGCAAUACGGAAAAUAGAAUAUUUUUAGAAGACUGGUAUGUUUUGGAUUUACAAAUAUUUGUUCCAUUUUCUUAGGUUUGUGCUUAAUUUUCUUAUAAAAAACCUACUCAUCUUAAUCAAUUUCUAUUAAAAUGAAGUAUUCUUAAUCUUUGAGGCACCUACAUUUUUUUAUAUAGAAAUUUAUUUUUGUUCUGAAAGCCACAAACUUUCUUUAAACAGUAAAAUAAGCUCUUUUGUAACAAAGGUAGCAUUUGAAUGGUCAAUUUCUAAGUUUUACUUUAGUUUAGUAAAUAAUCAAUUUUUCAAUCUAUAAAAUACAUGUUCAACUCAAUAAUACAGCACAAUACAAUAUAAUGCAAUAUUUGUUAUAUUAACUGUAACCUGUAUACACUUUUGGAAUAGUUGGAUAGUUUAACUCCUCAUCCAAGAAUAAUAUUUUUUGUGUUAUCAAGCUUUUGGAACUAAAGAAGACAGCCAAAGAGAUUAAAUUAACAAUUUAUUGCUUUACAAUUUCCACAGAUAUAUAUUUAAAAAAUUAUGGUUGCAGGAACUGCACAAUGAAUGAUGUUGAUUUAACUCCUUAAUUGGUAGCUUAAUUAUGAAUAUUACAACACACGUGCUCAUGUCUCUGGUCAGUGUUCCUGCUCAGGCUCUACCUCACAAUUCGCUAGUUUAUCGUUAUUGUGUGUUAUGUAUGAGAUGAGAUAAAUAAGGUUUCUGGUACUUCUCUCACUGUCACCGAGCUAUGGUUUAGCAAAUAUUUACUUAUGCCAUUCUCUCGAUAGAUUUGUAUUGACUAGUUAAAUGUUAGCAUAGCCUACAGUGUUGUCAGUCGUGGUUUAUUAAGUGUCUCUUGACUUUCCAACACGGUAAGCUGUAAAAGUGUGGCGACAUUGAAUGAGAAAUUGAAAAAGUUAAUUUUAUACAAUCAUUGCCCACAAAUAUUGUUUUACAAAAACCUCUCAGGAUGAACUGGACGUAGAAAAAACGAUAGUGUGUUGCAAUUAAAUUGAACAUUUUAUUUUCUCUCUUUUAAUUCUCUAUAGUAAAUUUAUGGACAACAACUUGUUCGUAACACUUUUGCAGUUGAACUAAAGUGAUGUUAAUAUUUUUUUUCUAAUGAAAAGUAACGGCUAUAUAUAAAAGUAUAUGAUAACUAGUAAAUGAUUUUAUUGUAUCAGAUAAACAAAUAUAUAUAUUUACAAGUAAGAAUAGAUAGUAUGCACUCUGCGACAAGGUUGUGUUCAGUCUAUGUUAAUUAAUUAUGAUCUCCAUCUCCGAUGUACUCAAGGACUUGCGUUACAUUGUCCACACGUUUAAGGUUAUGUUGACUGUGUUGUGUGUGUAAGUGCCUUCGUCUUGGCCGGUAUGUACAAGCUAUGAACGUACGAUCACAUCUUGGUACACAUUUUACAUGAUAAUUUACAGUAUUUCGUUACUUAGAAAAUCUCUCUAAUUGUACUUAAUCCAAAGUUUGUGUUGUAAACGUUCUCUUUUUCUCUAGCUCUAGUGUCAUGUAAGUUGAUAUUUUACUCAAAAACUCUGUUCACCAGAAUGUAGUACAAUUUUAUUGUAUGUAAUAUUUGAUGUGAUGAGGCACUUGUUCACAACACAGUUAAUGUUAUUGUUAUGUUAUUCUCAAAUUAAAGCAUUGUGUAUAUUUCAAA